AAAGUGUUUGGUGGCUGCAAAUAUUUGUGGUUUUAUUGAUAACCAGCAAGAAACAAGUGUUUCUCUCUAUUUCUUCCAUUAAACUAAAAAAAAAAACACUGCGAGGAAGCGGACAAUGUACACUCCACGGGGGGGGAAGCCACUCCCCUGACGACUACGUAUUGCGUCACCGCGCCUAUAUAGAUGUACUUGCGACACCAACUUCUCGCGAGAUGAGGCCUAUAAUGGCGGAUCCUCAAAGCCAUGCGUAGAAGGCAUUGCGAGGCUGCGGCCUGGUUGGAGGAAAGCGGCCCAUUUGGUGGUGUGUGGUUUUCUGCGCUAUGUUAACUAACGUGAAGAGUGUGCUGCGCUUCGUUAUUGGUUGGGAAUCUUGAACUAAAGCUUUCGACCAGCGCACUUUGUUGUUUUCUAACACCCACUGUUUCCUUUUUCUUGCGUGUGUUGCUUAGCCUUCUGGGUCCAAGUAUCCUCUGUUGCCUUCACAACACAAAGGUAUUUCAAGUUUGAUCUCUCUCUCCGGUUAUUCCUCUACCCAUUGAAAAAUGUUUGUUUUUUGUCUUAAUUCUCAUUUUCUACUGAAUAAAGAUUUUAUACUUUGGUA